CAGACAGAGUAAGCGUGGUAGACUAGUUGCAGUUUACCUCAUGAACAUGACCACAAACAUACGUGUGUGGAAUGCUCUGAACUCAGAAUUAAGUGCAAAUACAAAUCUUCUUAAAAAUGUUCUGCAAGUGCAACCAGCAAAUUCAUUACAGGGUCAGAAUUCUUGCACAAUUUGUUUUUCCAAAGAAAACUGCUGCCCUGCGAUUUCUGCUAGAUGGCCUAGAAUGUGUUCUGAUUUAAAUAGUUCCCAACAGGCUGCAGUUUUGAACUGUAUCAGUUUGAGCAGGUGCCAUCACAACAAUACAGUCGAGCUACUAUGGGGUCCUCCAGGGACUGGAAAAACAAAGACAGUUGGUCUGUCACUCUUUGCUCUUUUUCAGUUAAAGUGCAGAACUCUAACAUGCGCUCCCACCAAUAUUGCUGUCUUAGAAGUGACAUCACGGCUGCUGAGAUUGGUUAAACAGUCAUUGGAAUAUGGCAAGUAUGGACUUGGAGAUAUCAUUCUAUUUGGGAGUAGGGGGAGAUUGAAGAUUGAUAGUAAUGAUGACCUUCAAGAGGUAUUUCUUGAUCAUCGUGAGGUUAUUCUGUCAAAAUGUUUUGCCCCCUUUUCAGGUUGGCAACAUUGGCUAGAGUCUAUGAUAGAUUUGCUUGAGGAUCCAAAUAAACAAUACACAUUGUAUUUGGAAUCAAUGAGGAGAAAAUACGAUUAUAAACAAAAUUCUGGUGAUAGGAGCUCGGAGAUACAGUACUCACUGUAUUUAAAAAAGAGAAGGGAAAAAUACAAUGGGGAUAGUACAAACUCAUCGAGCGAUGAUCACAAUGGUGAAUUGACGUUUGAGGAGUUUGGGAAGGAAAAAGAGUUACCACUGCAUUUGAAAAAGGGAUGGGAAAGAUGCCACGAUGAUGGUAAAGAUAGUAAUAGUACGAACUCAUCAAGUGAUGAUGACAUUGAUGUUUUGACGUUUGAGAAGUUUCUGAAGGACAAACAUAAUUACAUUGGUGAGAAUCUGAAGCUGUGUAUGGAAAAUAUGUACACUCACUUGCCAACUUCUUGCAUUUCAUUAGAUGUGGUGAAGGACAUGAUUAGAGCUAUUGAAUUUCUCAAGUCAAUUAAAUCUUUAGUAUCUCAGGGGCUUGACAUUGCUAGUGAAAGGUUUGAAUUGAUCGUGGACAAUUGCGUUAAUAUUCUGAGGUCACUUCGUGUCUUUUCUGUUCCAACUUCUAAUGGUGGCCAGACAAUAAGGAAGUUGUGUUUGGAAAAUGUGUGCUUAAUAUUUUGUACUGCAUCAACCUCAGCAAAACUGCACACGGAAGGAAUCAAACCACUUGAACUGUUGGUCAUUGAUGAAGCUGCUCAGCUUAAAGAAUGUGAAUCGGCAAUCCCUUUACAACUACCUGGCCUUCGACAUGCUAUUCUCAUAGGAGAUGAAAGGCAACUUCCUGCUAUGGUUAAAAGCAAGAUCGCAGAGAAAGCUGGUUUCGGGAGAAGCUUGUUCGAAAGACUAGUCCUGUUGGGACAUGAGAAGCACCUUCUCAAUGUCCAGUAUAGGAUGCAUCCGUCAAUCAGCUUAUUUCCGAAAAAAGAGUUUUACGAUAAUAGGAUAUUGGAUGGUCCAAAUGUCAACGCAGUAAGCUAUGAGAAAUGCUUCCUUGAGGGAAGAAUGUUUGGAUCCUACUCCUUCAUACAUAUAGCCGACGGAAAAGAAGAAUUUUAUCGUGGACACAGUUCGAGAAAUAUGGUUGAGGUUGCUGUGGUCUAUCAUAUAGUUCUUGGCCUUUACAAACAAUUCACUCAAACAAGGAAGAAGGUUAGUAUUGGGAUAAUAUCACCUUAUAAAGCCCAAGUCAAUGCAAUUGAAGAGAGUCAGAGAAUACAGUACAAAUCAUUUAGAUGUAACUGAUUUCUCUGUAAGUGUGCGGUCUGUUGAUGGAUUCCAAGGUGGUGAGGAGGACGUGAUAAUCAUUUCCACUGUUAGAUGUAAUGGGAAUGGAUCAAUUGGUUUCCUCUCAAAUCUUCAAAGAACAAAAGUGUUACUAACACGGGCAAGGCACUGUCUUUGGAUAUUGGGGAAUGGACCGACCCUGUUUAACAGCAACUCCAUUUGGAAGAAGCUAAUCAUGGAUGCCAAGAAUCGCAAUUGUUUUUACAACGCUGAUGAAGACAACUUGUCUAAUGCUAUUGCGUCUGCCCUUGUGGAUCUUAACCAAGUUCAAGUUUUAUUCAAUUCUGAUUCUCUGCUGUUCAGAAAUGUUGAAAAUGCAAAGUGGAAGGUUUACUUUGCCAAUGAAUUUAAGAAAUCCAUCGCAAAGUUUAGGGACCCUGAAAUUCGUCGGGAAGUGGCUUCUCUACUGCGAAAGCUUUCAAGUGGUUGGCACCAAUCUCAUGAGGUGAAAGUCUAUGGUGCGACUUCUUGUCAGCUGUUAGAGAAGUAUAAAGUUGAUGGGAUCCGGAAUUUGAUUUGGAGUGUGGACAUUCUCCAAGAGAAUUCACAAUGUAUACAGAUUAUACAAGUUUGGGAUAUUGUGCCACAUUCUGAUGUACCAGAACUUGCAAAGCGUCUUAACAUCAUUUUUGGGUGUUACACAAUGGACAGGGUUAAUCGCUGCAAACAAAGAAGUCUGGACGGGGACAAAGUUGUUCCAAUUACAUGGCCACUUGAAUAUUCAAGCCCUACAAGCAGUGUGGUUGUGAAUCUGAUCCUCUGGAGUUCCUUUCAACACCAUUAUCUUGUCUCAGUCUGGGGGACGACCCAGCUGAAAAUUCAACUGCAUUUUAUACGAGGCAUAUGUAAGUUAAUUAAUGAUGUCCCUAUCCCUAUUGUUCCUGAUAUGUCUGAUAAGUUGAUUUGGGUUCCAUCAUCUUCUAGGGAGCUAUCUGCAAAGGAGGCAUUCCAAUUUUUGCGCCCACGUUUACCAUCUUUGGAUUGGGGGAAGCUCAUAGGGUCUAAAUUCAUCAUUCCCCGUAUUUCUCUUCAUUCUUGGAAAGUGUUAAGGGGUAGGGUGUUAUCCGAGGAUUUACUACAACGUCGUGGGAUUGCUUUGGCUUCUCAUGGGAUUGCUUUGGCUUCUCGUUGUGUUCUCGUUGCUUUGGCUUCUCAUACUACAGGAAAAUCUGGUUAUGGUGGAAUUUUUAGGGAUUUUCACGGCUCUUUCCUUGGUGCUUUUGCUUCAAACCUUGAAAUUCCUAACUCGGUGGAUGCAGAGGUUAUGGCGGUUAUUCAAGCUAUUGAGUUGGCUUGGGUUAGGGAUUGGAAGCAUAUUUGGCUUGAGGUGGAUUCAACAAUUGUGCUUAAUUUCUUGCGGGAUCCUCAUCUUGUUCCUUGGCGUUUGCGAGUAGCAUGGGGUAAUUGUUGCACCGCAUUUCUCAGAUGA